rnacentral:lncRNA from 1 species
AAAGGGCCUUAGAAGACAUUAUCUGUAUGGCUACUUCGUUUGCAAUACGUAUUUGUUGUAGAUUUGGAUUUGGAUGUUAAGUAUGUUGAAUUGGAGCCAAUGGAACUGGACGAUAGGGAUUUCCCAAGAUUAUCAGAACUCUUCUUUAUGAUAUUUGUUGCUGUCUUGCUCCAAUCUGAAUUGUCUGCCAGUCGGAAUCUGCCACAACAUAGAUGUCUCCUCCAUUGUUUCUGCACAUUUUCUUUCAUUGCACAGUGGAAUACAAAUAUAAAUAAACCUUGCAAUGAAUUGAAAAUGGAAAAAAGGUAUAAGAACGGCAGAGUUAAGGGACCCCAGGCAAAAAAGGCAAAGCCCCAUGUCAUGCCCAAGAGGAAGGUCAGGCUGACCACACUACGGAGGUUCCUCAGGAUCUCUUCCUUUAGUGUUCGAUUAGUUCUUUUCCCAUUCCUCCCGCAGAUCUGUACCAUCACCACCACAAACAUGGCAACAUUCAAGAGAAACAUGAUUCCAAAGUAUCCGGCACAAGUCACAUAAAAGACAACUUUAUUCUUGAUCCAGCAGAAGUCGUCUC